ACCUGCGGAAGGAUCAUUAUUAAAUGGGAGUUCUAAUUCCCAAAAAUGGAUACCCUUGCAUAUAAGUACUACUGUUUUCUCGGCAGGCUUGCCUGUCAAUGAGAACCCUUGUAAACCUUUUUCAUAUUUUUGUAACCGUACCUGUAUAACAAAUCAAAACUUUCAACAACGGAUCUCUUGGUUCUGGCAUCGAUGAAGAACGCAGCGAAAUGCGAUAAGUAGUGUGAAUUGCAGAAUUCAGUGAAUCAUCGAAUCUUUGAACGCACAUUGCGCCCUGUGGAAUUCCGCAGGGCAUGCCUGUUCGAGCGUCAUUUAAUUCUCUCAAGCUCUGCUUGGUGUUGGGUGUUUGUUCUGCCUUGUUAGCAUGGACUCGCCUUAAAAUUAUUGGCUGCCACCUCUUUGGCACUGAGCACAGCACUUUUGUCUCAUGCUAUAGGGUUGUGGUGCUCCAAAAGCACUUUUAUCUUUAGUUGACCUCGGAUCAGGUAGGGAUACCCGCUGAACUUAAGCAUAUCAAUAAGCGGAGGAAAAGAAACC
rnacentral:rRNA from 1 species